rnacentral:rRNA from 1 species
UACGUAGGGUGCAGGCGUUAAUCGGAAUUACUGGGCGUAAAGCGUGCGCAGGCGGUUUGUUAAGACAGAUGUGAAAUCCCCGGGCUUAACCUGGGAACUGCGUUUGUUACUGGCAAGCUAGAGUGUGGCAGAGGGGGGUGGAAUUCCAAGUGUAGCAGUGAAAUGCGUAGAUAUUUGGAGGAACACCGAUGGCGAAGGCAGCCCCCUGGGCUAACACUGACGCUCAUGCACGAAAGCGUGGGGAGCAAACAGG